rnacentral:miRNA from 1 species
CACUGCUCAAAGCGCAGCACGAGCAGGUGGGCGGCGGCGGCGGCGGCGGCGGCGGCGGCGGCGGCGGCGG